AAUCAGAAAGGGAGGAAAGAAAACGAAAAAAAAACAAAAAUCUUUCCGAUUAGGAUUAGACCAAGCAAUUUUACCUUUUUCUCCUCAUUUUUUUUUUUUGUUAUUUUCUUCGGUUUUUCUUUGAUCUUUUUUCUUUCUCAU
rnacentral:ribozyme from 14 species